AAAAUUUUCAAUUAUGGGAGGCAGAAGAAUUGACAUGUGCUUUAUGGGAGGUAGAAGAAUUAACAAAUAUCCAUUGUGUGGCAUUUGAAGUGAAUCUGGAAUGAAAGAUGUUGUAGAAUCUUUGCAAGCAAGUCUUGCCAGAUUGACAUGCUGUGUUGGAGAAUCCUUUUCAUGGCUACAGGAUGGGCAAUGUCUUCCCUUACUUUUAGGAUGUCUCUUUCCUUGAAUCCAUUCCACCUUGGAGUCCUUUUAUGCAGGUAUGGGAUCAGAUUCAUCAAGCAGGUUAUUAUGUUGAUGUUGAUACAACAGACAGGAGGAUCCA